GUCUAUGACCAUACCACCCUGAAUGCACCUGAUCUCUUCUGAUCUCAGAAGCUAAGCAAAGUCGGGCCGGGUUAGUACUUGGAUGGGUGAAAGAGAGAGAAUGGACGCACCAGGGCCUGUAGCCA
rnacentral:rRNA from 1 species